GCCUAGAAUGCCUUCCUCUGUUUUUGACUUUAAAAGAGUCACCCACUCUUGAACAUGGAAUUCAACCUUAAACACUUCAUGUAACUUUUAAAGUGACUGGCAAUGAUGGUGUAUGUCUCCAGUUUCUUAGAGUACAAUAUACUCUUCAUCACACAGCCAAUCAUGUUAUCACACUUUAUAUAGUAUGUUCUCUAGUUGCUUCAUCUGUCUUAAGUUUACCUGGUUAGUCUCUAAAUUAUUUGGGGACUAUUAAUACAUUUUAUAUUUCUUUUCUUUCUCUCACAGUGUUUAGCCCUGUGCUAAAUGUACAGUUGGUGUUCAAUCAGUGCAACAAACUGAUGCUUUGAAAUGCAGAUUUGUAAAAGAGUUUUGUCAACCUAGAUAUUUAAGCAGCAGGUAUAGGAAUUUCUAGAUAUACUCAUAUCAGUUAUGUUUCUAAUGAAGAUAAAAAGAUGAUAAUAAAAUUAAUUGAAGAGUAGAUGAGAUAGUACAGAGGUGGCAUAAAUGUAGUUGAAUUCUUUUCAGACCACACAAAUUGAUAAGGAUGAAUAUCUAAUUCAUUCUAAAAUAUAGGAAUUAUGCUUCAUAUUAGAUUCCAUAAAGCUAAAUUUCAAAGUUAUUGCCCCUUUUUUGCUGCUUAUAGUAGUGUUUUCUAUAAAGGGUGAAACUCAAAC
rnacentral:lncRNA from 1 species